rnacentral:lncRNA from 1 species
GGGCCCAAGAGAGGACCCCAAGUGGGCACAGGCCUCCUGGUGAAAUGCCACCCAAGUUUCAAGCUAUGAGAACACAUUCUGUAACCUUAUUUGGUGACUGGGUUUGUGGCUUUUGCAGUAACACCUGGCUUUCCUGUCGCAGGUGCUCACACUUUUGUCCUCUCUCAAUAGUGUCUUGGGAGGAGCCAGCCUGAAGGUCUGGGUUGUGGAGUGCAGCUGUGGCCCCAGGAUGAGAUCACAGUUUGGGUUUCUUUUCCUCCAGAUUAUGAUUAGCCGCGAGGACGGGGAAGGAGCAUCCAGGGAGGUUGUCCGUCUGCCUUUCUGCAGGGCCCCUUCUUGAAGCUCCAGGAGCUGCCAGGUCUUGAAGGAGUCCCUAUGCCCUGGGAGCGUCGGAGCUGGCAGUAGGUGGCCAGUGGGAACUGGAGCAGCUCAGAUCCCAGUCUGGCGGGGGGAAGGAGACCCUGGCAGGCAUCUGCAUCCUGCCCCGAGGACUUCAAACAUGCUCAGCAGUCUGUCACUAAGAAACAGACCCAAGGCCCCUCUCCACCUUCUUCUCUUCACAGCCCUGGAGAGGCUGCUGCUCUGAGUCUUUUUCCAGCUCCUCGUUACCUCUCCACCCUCCAUGAGGCACCACUGCCUCGUGGGAGAGACGGGUACAGCACGAAGAGCUCGUACAGCUGCUCUAUGUCCGCUGUGCAUGGAUACAGCCGCGUGAAAUCACACUUAGGACGCCACCAAGGGCCCCCCCAGCCUGGUACCCCUUGCACGGAUUGGUCAGGUAGCGAGUUGUGCCUUGGAAGGAAGGAAGCCUCUAUCUGGGGCUCUAGCCUCUGCACUCCGGAAUACCAAGGAUGCUGGCAGGCUGCCAGGGGCUUCCAACCUAUCGUCCAUCCAGGAUGAAGUUGGAGAUGGAGGCCGCA